rnacentral:tRNA from 1 species
UUUAUCUUAGUAUAAUGUUAUUAUACUAGCUUUUCGUGUUAGAGAUAGUUUAACUAGAUAAAU